AGGGACAUGAUCAACACUUGGGGAAUUGGGAGAGUGACUUUGUUAGGUGAUGCAGCACAUCCAAUGCAACCAAAUCUUGGUCAGGGGGGUUGUAUGGCAAUAGAGGAUUGUUACCAACUGAUACUUGAGCUUGACAAAGUUACUAAACAUGGGUCUGACGAGUCUGAAGUUAUCUCAGCCCUUAGAAGGUAUG